ACUCAACGCCAAUUCUUUAAAAUGGGUGAAUCGUCGCUACUAUAGCAUGCUGCCUUGAGCAGAUCCUAGAACAGCUUGUUAGCCCAAAACUUGUCAAUACGAGUUU
rnacentral:sRNA from 2 species